CCUACGGGCGGCAGCAGUGGGGAAUAUUGGGCAAUGGGCGCAAGCCUGACCCAGCAACGCCGCGUGAAGGAAGAAGGCUUUCGGGUUGUAAACUUCUGUUGUCAGGGACGAAGCAAGAGACGGUACCUGACGAAUAAGCCACGGCUAACUACGGGCCAGCAGCCGCGGUAAUACGUAGGUGGCAAGCGUUAUCCGGAUUUAUUGGGUGUAAAGGGCGUGUAGGCGGGAAUGCAAGUCAGAUGUGAAAACUAUGGGCUCAACCCAUAGCCUGCAUUUGAAACUGUAUUUCUUGAGUGCUGGAGAGGCAAUCGGAAUUCCGUGUGUAGCGGUGAAAUGCGUAGAUAUACGGAGGAACACCAGUGGCGAAGGCGGAUUGCUGGACAGUAACUGACGCUGAGGCGCGAAAGCGUGGGUAGCAAACAGGAUUAGAUACCCUUGUAGUC
rnacentral:rRNA from 1 species